rnacentral:rRNA from 1 species
CGUAGGGAGCAGGCGUUGUCCGGAUUUACUGGGUGUAAAGGGUGCGUAGGCGGCUUUGCAAGUCAGAUGUGAAAUCUAUGGGCUCAACCCAUAAACUGCAUUUGAAACUGUAGAGCUUGAGUGAAGUAGAGGCAGGCGGAAUUCCCCCGUGUAGCGGUGAAAUGCGUAGAGAUGGGGAGGAACACCAGUGGCGAAGGCGGCCUGCUGGGCUUUAACUGACGCUGAGGCACGAAAGCGUGGGUAGCAAACAGGAUU